GAAGAAGAAGAAGAAGAAGGUAGAAGAAGAAGAAGAGGAAUAGGAAUAGGGAAGAAGAGUAGGGGUUGUACCACUCGUCCUCGGCCUCGGUUCGAAAGCCUCCCUCUCUUUGCUCACUCAGUCAGUGUGAGGAACGAACGGUACGAGGAGGGAGAGUUUGCCGCGCUAGCUGCCUUCCUUCCUCCUCGUCAGUUCCUCGCGAACCGCGAGCCGUGUAGUACUUUUCAAUUCGUUUUGUCAUCAAAAAAAGAUUUUACAAAAAAAGAAAACAGAAGAAGACAACGUAUUAACAUUUGUUUUUAUCAAUUAACGUAUAUUAACGAUGUUGGUUGUAUCAAAAUUUGCAAUCGAACGUUGUCCUCGAAAUUAUCGACGACUAUGCGAAUACGUUACGAUCGUUACGUGCGAGGACGACGUUCAAUGAGAGAAAGAAGGAUAAAAAAAGAAAGUUAAAGAGAAAAAGAAAAAGAAAAAAAAAAUAGAAAAGAAGAAAAUAUAUCUCGAUACAAUUUCGUAGGCGAAAAUAAAAAUAUGUACGUUCGACUAGUGACCUCGUCGUGUGCGUUUUAAAGAUUUGUGUUAAAACGAAGAAUUCGAUCCGAAGAGUUAGAAAAGAAUAGAAAAAGAAAACAAAAAAAAAAAAACAAAAAAAAUAGGAGAAAAAAGAUGGGAAAGUUAAAAACGAGAAGAAGAGGACAAGGAGAGAGGAGAGGGUGAUUUUCUUAAGAGAAAAGUUCCUGUGAUAGAUAUCGAAAAGUUUCGAACGAGACCAAGAAAAGGAGAUAUGUAUUUGCCCAUAGGUGUGUUUAAAUACACUAUCAACUAAAAGUUUGGAAUAAUUCUACGCAAAUUCACAUAAAUGGGAUAUUAAUAAGAAAUCAAAUAUUCAACGUUGAACUUGAACAAUGUUAAUAUUUAAGUUUUAGCCGAUUUUGUUUCGAUCAAUCGAUAACUGAAAUCAACGGGAAGAUUAUUUUUAAGCUACUGAUCGAUAAACGAUAGGAUAAAAUCUA